rnacentral:rRNA from 1 species
UGAACGCUGGCGGCAUGCCUAACACAUGCAAGUCGAACGAGAUCUUCGGAUCUAGUGGCGCACGGGUGCGUAACGCGUGGGAAUCUACCCUUGGGUUCGGAAUAACAGCGAGAAAUUGCUGCUAAUACCGGAUGAUGACGUAAGUCCAAAGAUUUAUCGCCCAGGGAUGAGCCCGCGUAGGAUUAGGUAGUUGGUGUGGUAAAGGCGCACCAAGCCUACGAUCCUUAGCUGGUCUGAGAGGAUGAUCAGCCACACUGGGACUGAGACACGGCCCAGACUCCUACGGGAGGCAGCAGUGGGGAAUAUUGGACAAUGGGCGAAAGCCUGAUCCAGCAAUGCCGCGUGAGUGAUGAAGGCCUUAGGGUUGUAAAGCUCUUUUACCCGGGAUGAUAAUGACAGUACCGGGAGAAUAAGCUCCGGCUAACUCC